GAUGAACGCUGGCGGCGUGCCUAAUACAUGCAAGUCGAGCGAACAGACGAGGUGCUUGUUCCUCUGACGUUAGCGGCGGACGGGUGAGUAACACGUGGAUAACCUACCUAUAAGACUGGGAUAACUUCGGGAAACCGGAGCUAAUACCGGAUAAUAUCUUGAACCACAUGGUUCAAUAGUGAAAGACGGUAUUGCUGCAACUAAUAGAUGGAUCCGCGUCGCAUUAGCUAGUUGGUAGGGUAACGGCUUACCAAGGCGACGAUGCGUAGCCGACCGGGGAGGGUGUCCGGCCACACUGGAACUGAGACACGGUCCAGCCUCCUACGGGAGGCAGCAGUAGGGAAUCUUCCGCAAUGGGCGAAAGCCUGACGGAGCAACGCCGCGUGAGUGAUGAAGGUCUUCGGAUCGUAAAACUCUGUUAUUAGGGAAGAACAAAUGUGUAAGUAACUAUGCACGUCUUGACGGUACCUAAUCAGAAAGCCACGGCUAACUACGUG
rnacentral:rRNA from 1 species